GAAACCCUGUCCGAUGGUGAGGUCAUCCAAAGGUAAGACUGCCCAGAGGGCAGCGCCUCACCGUCCCGCAAGGGAUAGGACAGGGAGGAGGU
rnacentral:ncRNA from 1 species